ACUUUUUUCCCUCAUUUCCCUAUCAAUACCAAAUGUACUUCUACCAUGCCUAGUUGCAAUUGACCAAUCAGAUUGCUUGAUUUUAGGUUCAUAAAUAACUUAUUUACCACUGGGAGGUUUGAUAAGUAAUUUCCUAGGUAAUAGGAGGCUUGAUAAGUAAUUUCUUGGACAGUCAGAGGUUAAUAAGUGGCCCGGGAGGUAAAGUUUGACCGGGAGGUUUAUAAGUUCGCCUCGGGAAAUUACUUGUUAACCUCCUGCUUAAAAUAAUCAUGCUGUUGCUAAGUGUUGCUAAGAAACUAGUUGUUCAUUUCACAUCUAUAAAAUCAAAUGCAUUAUCACUAUUGUUUUACUAUAUUUGAAUUGUCUGACUCUGUAAUUAUCUUCCUCCUAUUGAUUUGUCUACCUCUUUCCAAUGCAUUAAAUCCUUACUCUUUUACACUUCAUGGAACCAAUUUUUGAUAGUUUUAAUUCACAUAGUUCAUCAUGUGCACUUUUCACUUUCUCUGUCCUUGUUCAUGUUGUUCCUCCUGUUUUUCUUAAUUUCUUUCUCUGCUAUAUUAUUUUAUUAUCUAUUUAAUUGAUUUAUUGUAUGGCACAUGGUGUUAGUCUCUCAACACUCUCUGUUCUAGUGUCUCACACAUGACACAUCAUUUUGUUUUGUGUCACUGUGAUGUAAAGUUAUUACUAUGACGAGCCUUGGCCCAGCCUCUCCUUUUCUUUGCUCCACUAAGUCAAUGGCAUGAUUAGCAUUCAGCCUAGUCAGUCAGGCAUGACCGUAUGGCAUCUAGAUCCACUCUCUGUUCAUUUUCUUCUGUCUUCAUUUCGCAGUUGGCAAUAGAUCAACUGAUUGAUAUUGUUAAUUUGUUAAAGAAAUGUGGCUUCCCUCAGACAAGAUGGCAUGAGCUGGGACUGACACUAGGGCUUCUCUUAGAUACACUCAACACUAUUGCAGAAAACUACUCAAAAGUGGAAGAUCGUUUUAUUGAAUGCAUUGCCAGAUGGUUGCGUAGAGCCGAUAAUGUUGACAG